rnacentral:rRNA from 1 species
GACGAACGCUGGCGGCGUGCUUAACACAUGCAAGUCGAGCGGUAAGGCCCUUUCGGGGGUACACGAGCGGCGAACGGGUGAGUAACACGUGGGUGACCUGCCCUCAGCUCUGGGAUAAGCCUGGGAAACCGGGUCUAAUACUGGAUAUGACUCCAUGACGCAUGUUGUGGGGUGGAAAGCCUUGUGCGGCUGAGGAUGGGCCCGCGGCCUAUCAGCUUGUUGGUGGGGUGAUGGCCUACCAAGGCGACGACGGGUAGCCGGCCUGAGAGGCGACCGGCCACACUGGGACUGAGACACGGCCCAGACUCCUACGGGAGGCAGCAGUGGGGAAUCUUGCGCAAUGGGCGAAAGCCUGACGCAGCGACGCCGCGUGAGGGAUGACGGCCUGG